rnacentral:rRNA from 1 species
AUGGGAGCUUGCUCCCUGAUGUUAGCGGCGGACGGGUGAGUAACACGUGGGUAACCUGCCUGUAAGACUGGGAUAACUCCGGGAAACCGGGGCUAAUACCGGAUGGUUGUUUGAACCGCAUGGUUCAAACAUAAAAGGUGGCUUCGGCUACCACUUACAGAUGGACCCGCGGCGCAUUAGCUAGUUGGUGAGGUAAUGGCUCACCAAGGCAACGAUGCGUAGCCGACCUGAGAGGGUGAUCGGCCACACUGGGACUGAGACACGGCCCAGACUCCUACGGGAGGCAGCAGUAGGGAAUCUUCCGCAAUGGACGAAAGUCUGACGGAGCAACGCCGCGUGAGUGAUGAAGGUUUUCGGAUCGUAAAGCUCUGUUGUUAGGGAAGAACAAGUACCGUUCGAAUAGGGCGGUACCUUGACGGUACCUAACCAGAAAGCCACGGCUAACUACGUGCCAGCAGCCGCGGUAAUACGUAGGUGGCAAGCGUUGUCCGGAAUUAUUGGGCGUAAAGGGCUCGCAGGCGGUUUCUUAAGUCUGAUGUGAAAGCCCCCGGCUCAACCGGGGAGGGUCAUUGGAAACUGGGGAACUUGAGUGCAGAAGAGGAGAGUGGAAUUCCACGUGUAGCGGUGAAAUGCGUAGAGAUGUGGAGGAACACCAGUGGCGAAGGCGACUCUCUGGUCUGUAACUGACGCUGAGGAGCGAAAGCGUGGGGGAGCGAACAGGAUUAGAUACCCUGGUAGUCCACGCCGUAAACGAUGAGUGCUAAGUGUUUAGGGGGGUUUCCGCCCCCUUAGUGCUGGCAG